GGCCAGACUCCUACGGGAGGCAGCAGUGGGGAAUAUUGCACAAUGGGGGAAACCCUGAUGCAGCAACGCCGCGUGAGUGAUGACGGCCUUCGGGUUGUAAAGCUCUGUCUUCAGGGACGAUAAUGACGGUACCUGAGGAGGAAGCCACGGCUAACUACGUGCCAGCAGCCGCGGUAAUACGUAGGGGGCAAGCGUUGUUCGGAAUGACUGGGCGUAAAGGGUGUGUAGGCGGUGUAGCAAGUUAGAAGUGAAAUACCUAGAGCUUAACUCAGGUGCUGCUUCUAAAACUGCUAUACUUGAGUGCAGUAGAGGAAAGUGGAAUUCCUAGUGUAGCGGUGGAAUGCGUAGAUAUUAGGAGGGACAUCAGUGGCGAAGGCGACUUUCUGGACUGUAACUGACGCUGAGGCACGAAAGUGUGGGGAGCAAACAGGAUUAGAUACCCGCGUAUU
rnacentral:rRNA from 1 species